AACAGGAUAAAGGAAAUAUGGGAGGGUAACGCCAAGGCCCGCAAACGUCUACAGGACUACCUCAGGUCGCCUUUGUGGACUGAAAACAGCACCCUCACUGCGGUCCAAGCGCUCCGAUAUUAGUACCUGCACAUAGUGUAGAGUGUAGUAUCAGCACAACCGACCCCAUAUGUUGGUAAAUGUCUAGACUAACCUCGGCAAAGUAGUGACGAGGCUAGGACCAUACUACCAAAUAAACUUGUGCAGUUAUAUCAUAUACAGCGGAAAUAGAAGUAGAUAAUUACAGUUAAAAUUGGGUAACUUCGGGGAAUAACAAAUAACAACAGAAUAUCAAGAGAAUAUAACGAAACCAAAAUCCAAUUACUAACAAGGAUAAGGAAAACAAAUGCAGAAUUCACUUUCAUUUCACAUCUUAUUGCAGGCGUAUAAUCCGAUCCCAUUUCGUGUGUCUCGUUGCAAGUGUGUAACCCGUUCCCAUUUCAUAUAUCACAUUGCAGGCGUGCAACCCACUUCUAUUUCAUAUAUCUUGUUGCAGGCGUGCAACCCGCUCCCAUUUCACAUAUCUUGUUGUAGGCAUGCAACCCGCUCCCAUUUUACAUAUCUUGUUGCAGGCGUGCAACCCGCUCCCAUUUCACAUAUCUUGUUGCGGACGUGCAACCCGCUCUCAUUUCAUAUAUCUUGUUGCAGGCGUGCAACCCUCUCCCAUUUCUUUUAUCAACACCAAUCAUAAAAGGGUCCCGGCAAGGGAAUAAUAAUAUCAAAACAAACAUCCCAGCAAGGGAACAAUAAUAUGACAAUAACAUCCUGGCAAGGGAAAUUAAUGAUAAUAAUGUCCCGGGAUGGGAACAAUAAUGAUAAUAACAUCCCGGCAAGGGAACAAUAAUGAUAAUAACAUGUGAAGCGCAAUAAACCACAACGGAGUCAUAACAAUUACAAUACAAGACUCACGGGCAUACUUGACACUGACAUAUAGAUACUCGUCACCAUGCCUAUACAUCGUACUCCGCUAUUAACACGUAGCAAAUAAGACACGACUCCUAAUCCCUCAAGCUAAGGUUACACCAAACACUUACCUCGAUGCCAUGAACACAAUUCAAUCCUCAACUAUCACUUUACCUCUUGAUUCCACCACCAACUCGCUUGUAUCUAGCCACAAGUUACUUAAUAAUAUUAAUAAGUACUAAAUGAAUCAUUUCUAAUGCAUGGAAAUAAGUUUUCUAAAUGUUUUCCCAAAAAGUCAAAAAUUUCCCCUGGUCCCACAUGGUCAAAAUCCGAUGUUCGAACCAAAACCCGAUUACCCAUUCCCCCACGAACUCAAAUAUAUAAUUUGUUUUGAAAUCGAACCUCAAAUCGAGGUCCAAAUCCCCCAUUUUUGAAAAAACUUAGGUUCUACCCAAAACACCCAAUUUCCCCCAUGAAAAUCAUUGAUUUUGAAUUGAAAUCAUGUGAAAAGAUGUUAAUGGUUGAAGAAAACGAGUUAAAAUUGACUUACAAUCGAUUUGGAAGAAGAGUUGUCAUUGAAAAAUCGCCCAAGAAUGUUUUGGUUUUGAAAGAGUGUGAAAAAUGAAAGAUUUUCGGCUAAGUUAUAAAAUUACAGGUUGCAGAUGUCGCAAUUGCGACUAGGCUUUGCAAUUGAGAACCCAGACUUCUGCUAAGCUCACAUUUGCGAGGCGACCUUCGCAUUUGCGAAGUCACUUUUGCGAACCACAUGUCGCAUUUGCGACGACUGACCAAAAGGGGGAAACAUCGCAUUUGCGAUAAAUUCCCCGCAAUUGCAAGGAAGGCUGGUCUGGGCUAUUUUCGCAUUUGCGACAUAGCCUUCGCAUUUAUGAGCCAGGCUUCGCAAAUGCGAAUCUUGCAGGCAUGCAAUGCAACAGUUGAAAUCUGCAACUCUCCAAGUCCAAAAUUCACCCUCACGGCCUAUCCAAAACUCACCCGAGCCCUCGGGGCUCCAAACCAAUCAUGCACACCAAUCUAAAAAUAUCAUACGGACUCGCCCGUGUAUUCAAAUCAUAAAAAUAACAUCAACAACUCUGAAUUUAGCAUCAAAAUUAUGAAAUUUUGUAAGAACAUCAAAUUUCCCAAUUUCGUCAAAUAAGGUCUGAUUCAUAUCAUUUCAAGUCCGUUUCCUACCAAAUUUCACAGGUUCGACUCAAAUCAUAUAUAAGACUUGUACCGGGCUCUAGAACAAAAAUACGAGCCUGAUAACAUCAAACUUUAAACACAUUUCACUUUCAAAAACUCAUAAAUAUUCCAGAAAAUAAUUUUCUUCAAAAAUUCAUUUCUCGGGCUUGGCACCUCAAAAUUCGAUUCUGGGCAUACACCCAAGUCCCAUAUUUUCCUACGGACCCUCCGGGACCGUCAAAUCACGGGUCCGAAUCCGUUUACCCAAAAUAUUGAUCGAAGUCAACUUAAACUCAUUUAUUAGGCAAAAUUCAUCAUUUUUCACAGAUUUUCAGAUAAUGGCUUUUCGGCUACGCACCCAGACUACGCACGCAAAUCGAGGUGAGAUAGAAAGAGGUUUUUAAGGCCUCUGAAUGCAAAAUUUAUUUUUAAAAUAAGUGAUGAACUUUUGGGUCAUCACACGAUGAUUUAAAAUUAAUUGCGCCUAAAGCAAGCUACGAUGUUCAUAAUUAUCUACUUCUAAGUCGGUGAUUUGAGCUUCUCAUAAGUUCUGUCACUAUGGUUAUGAGAUGGAUUGGCAAGAAAAAUGUUCAGUUACAUUAUCCGAAACCAAAGCAAUCAAGAUAAAGGCAUUCUGUUUUGAUAGACUCAGAUAAAUUGGUCUCUUUUCCUCGGCCAAGGUAAAGGUGUUACGAUCUGAAGUGACUGUAAUCUACUUUUGUUGGAUGAAGCAAACUUAUCAUCACUGACUACAACUUUCAUGGACAAUGAGAAAGAAAUGUUAAGAAUGAACUUCUACUUUGGAAUGAUGUAUUCUGUUAACUUUAUCAUCUAUGUUCUUAUAAGAGUUCCUUAUUUUUAGCAAAAUUUACAACAACCAAAAAAACAAAGUAAAAAUAAAAAUAAAAGAGCUUCAAGUUUUAGAGUAAAUACUAAACUAAAAUUUGAAUUAAUUAGUACACAAAUGACUACUUUCAAUGCCUAUGAAGUUUUAAUUGAGCUAGGCACUAAAAAAUUCUAAAUUCCAUACCAACAAUGAUGGUAUUUCACCUCCGAGCCAUAGAUCUGCUAGACCACCUCCAUAUAUAUAAGAAAUCCAUUAUAAGUUAACAAAUAAUCUAAACCUUAACAAAUACAUACUGCUCGUUCAAACCAUAGAAUUGCCUUUUCAUGAUUGUUUCUUAUUAUUACUCAAAUUUUCAGUAUGGUUUUAGAUAUUCACCACAUUGAACUUUAAAACCAAACCCAAGCUUGCAGUCAGAAAUGAAAGAGCACUCAGUACACAUGUCAAUGAACAGCAAUUGAGAUUUCAUAUCAAUAGGACAUCCAAAUAGCAAUUACAUCAAUUGAGACCAAAAGCACAUACCUUAACAGCAGUAGUGCAACUUAUAAUAGCCAAGUAAGGAAUAAAUUCAGCAAAUUGGGGUUCAGCUACGCACAGAACAACAAAAUCUACCAGCAAAUGAGACUCUUACAGCUCAAUUAAACUUCGAAGUUUCCAGAAAAUAUCCAGCUAAGGAACUGUGAGAGAAUUAAUGAGCAUUGUCUGUGUGAGUGCGUAUUUCUGAUAUCUUUAUAGAGAGUGAGGCGUGUAUCUAUAUUAGGAAAAAGGGGGGGUAUGUUCUUGGUGAUGAUGAAAAUGGAAAAGUCCUGAAAUACCCAGAUGCGUUGUUGCUCUUUUUCUAAGGGUGAGGUCUUCUG
rnacentral:lncRNA from 1 species